AUGUAAUUAUCACUUCGGUCUACAGGAAUACCUGAUAAUCAAGGGAGAUAACACACUUCAUACGAGUAAAGUGAGAUACAUCAUCGCAUGUGCUUUUAUCCAAUGAUUUGACCCCUGGUCAGUAGAUAUCAUAUGCAAAAAAACAGAAAAAAACAUGUACAUGUUUUAAGAAAAUCAUGAACUAAUAUUUUUAAUGCACUUGAGCAAAACAAUAGAUAUUGUCAUUUCUCAGUGAAAAAGGGGGAGGGUCAAACCUUUUUGAAAACAAUAUUUCUGCACCUAUUCAACUAUUAAGCUAGUUAGCUACUACCCAUUGCUUCUAAAAUAAAAGGUUUAAAUGAAGGUGACUAAGCCACAAGGGAGAAGCAUUUGUCUUUCUUUGUGAUUAAACUUUCAAGAAUUAGAUUUUUUCUCUCUCAAUAGUACUUAUGUAUUUAAAUCAAAUGAUAACACAGCCUGAGUAAUUUUUUUUGUCUUAUUUCAGUUCCAGACAUAUCAUUACUUUUUAACCUGAGAUGGCAAACUAGAGGUUUUAAAAAGUCCUGAAUAACUGGUAAGCAUUUUGCUUUAUUAGGCAAGCUCUAAAUUGUUUAUUUAUGGUAUUUAUGCAAUUGAAAUUACAGUCGGUAUGUUAAAAAUAUGCAAAUAUGAAAACUGUUGCUAUGGUCUUGGUAUUAAAUGAAAAGGCUUAGUUACAGAUCGUUUCGACUCAAUAUUUCGAGUUAAAUCUUGCGGCAACUGUUUCUCACGUAACACUGCAAACUAUAUUUAGCUCUAUUUUGAUCUGUCGUUAUUUAAUGACGCCAUAAUACAUGUGAUGUCACAAUGUUUCCUUUAAAACCUCAUGUGGAUUUCUCACUAAUAAAAGGUUUUCACUGAAAUACAUGUUAAAAACAUUUUUUCUCAAAUAGAAUUAUGUGAAAGGACAAGUUUUGAAAAUUUGCACUAUAUUGCACUCUAAUUAUAUGAUAAGGAUGACUUUCCAAGUAGUUAAGAGUGCUUUCCACAGUUUUAAAUACCAGAUUUCCACUAGUAAGAAUAAUUAUUUUUGGUGUUGGGUUUUUUAUAAAAUCUUCAUUUUUGCAUAAUUUCUCUGUCAAAAUGCACUUUAAGGCACAAGAAAAUUUUAUAGAAUGCUUUAACAGGGUCUGUGUAUUGUAAUUAAAGGUUAUAAUCAGAAGUUUUGUCCUUGUUUUGACUAGUGAAGGUAUUCUGGAAGAAAUUAAUUAUACAAACACAUUGUAUUCAAAAUAAAUGAAUAUAGCGACGAAAGUGUCAUUGCCUUAUAGUGCUAAAACAACUUUAUUUUUUUUUCAGAAAUGGACAAAAAUACACAGAUUUAUUCAGAAUGUUAUACCGAUGAAGAUCACAUAAAAAUAUUUGGAAAAAUCAGAAGUAUGAAUUUCAAUAUGGGUCAGGAUCCCUAAUAGACCUUGAGAUGAGGAACUCAGAUGACGUAAUUAAAAAAAAUAUUAGUCCGCCAUACAAUUGUGGAUGCUGUGAUUUUAAAAAUGGACAUAAAUGAACAAUAAGAACUGUUUUAUAGAGCUGGUGUGAUGAGAAAAGAAAGAUGUAGAUUUGACCUGAAAUAAAUUAUUAGAAAGGAC
rnacentral:lncRNA from 1 species